UUACCCACUCCCGGCACGGGGAGGUAGUGACGAAAAAUAACGAUACGGGACUCAUCCGAGGCCCCGUAAUCGGAAUGAGUAUACUCUAAAUCCUUAUACGAGUAUCAAUUGGAGGGCAAGUCUGGUGCCAGCAGCCGCGGUAAUUCCAGCUCCAAUAGCGUAUAUUAAAGUUGUUGCGGUUAAAAAGCUCGUAGUUGGAUCUGUGUCCCGCACCGUCGGUUCACCGCCUGUCGGUGUUCAACUGGUGUGUAUGCGGGACGUCCUGCCGGUGGCGGUCCGGUUCCCCGUAGGUACGUAGGGGCGUCCUUGCUUACGCUUGCGUCGUCCCCGAAGGCCUGCGCGGUGUAUCCGGCCGCCUUUUCAAUCCCGUCGCGGUGCACUUCACUGAGUGUCGUGGCGGGUUUACUUUGAACAAAUUAGAGUGCUUUAAGCAGGCCCUGUCCCCCUGUAUGUUGUGUGCAUGGAAUAAUGGAAUAGGACCUCGGUUCUAUUUUGUUGGUUUUCGGAAUCUGAGGUAAUGAUCAAUGGGGACAGGCGGGGGCAUUCGUAUUGCGACGUUAGAGGUGAAAUUCUUGGAUCGUCGCAAGACGGACCGAAGCGAAAGCAUUUGCCAAGUAUGUUCUCGUCGAUCAAGAACGAAAGUUAGAGGUUCGAAGGCGAUCAGAUACCGCCCUAGUUCUAACCAUAAACUAUGCCUGCCAGCGAUCCGCCGAAGUUCCUCCGAUGACUCGGCGGGCAGCUUCCGGGAAACCAGAGCUUUUGGGUUCCGGGGGAAGUAUGGUUGCAAAGCUGAAACUUAAAGGAAUUGACGGAAGGGCACCACCAGGAGUGGAGCCUGCGGCUUAAUUUGACUCAACACGGGAAAACUCACCAGGCCCGGACACCGGAAGGAUUGACAGAUUGAGAGCUCUUUCUUGAUUCGGUGGGUGGUGGUGCAUGGCCGUUCUUAGUUGGUGGAGCGAUUUGUCUGGUUAAUUCCGAUAACGAACGAGACUCUAGCCUACUAACUAGGCGUACCCGGUAUCCACAAUCGUGCUACCGGCGGUCAAAUUUCUUCUUAGAGGGACAGGCGGCUUCUAGCCGCAAGAGACUGAGCAAUAACAGGUCUGUGAUGCCCUUAGAUGUCCUGGGCCGCACGCGCGCUACACUGAAGGAAUCAGCGUGUCUUCCCUGUCCGAAAGGACCGGGUAACCCGCUGAACCUCCUUUGUGCUAGGGAUUGGGGCUUGCAAUUGUUCCCCAUGAACGAGGAAUUCCCAGUAAGCGCGAGUCAUAAGCUCGCGUUGAUUACGUCCCUGCCCUUUGUACACACCGCCC
rnacentral:rRNA from 1 species